rnacentral:rRNA from 1 species
AUUGAACGCUGGCGGCAUGCCUUACACAUGCAAGUCGAACGGCAGCAUGAUCUAGCUUGCUAGAUUGAUGGCGAGUGGCGAACGGGUGAGUAAUACAUCGGAACGUGCCCUGUAGUGGGGGAUAACUAGUCGAAAGAUUAGCUAAUACCGCAUACGACCUGAGGGUGAAAGUGGGGGACCGCAAGGCCUCAUGCUAUAGGAGCGGCCGAUGUCUGAUUAGCUAGUUGGUGAGGUAAAGGCUCACCAAGGCGACGAUCAGUAGCUGGUCUGAGAGGACGAUCAGCCACACUGGGACUGAGACACGGCCCAGGCUCCUACGGGAGGCAGCAGUGGGGAAUUUUGGACAAUGGGCGAAAGCCUGAUCCAGCAAUGCCGCGUGUGUGAAGAAGGCCUUCGGGUUGUAAAGCACUUUUGUCCGGAAAGAAAUGGCUCUGGUUAAUACCUGGGGUCGAUGACGGUACCGGAAGAAUAAGGACCGGCUAACUACGUG